UACAGAGAGUGCGAGCGUUAAUCGGAAUUACUGGGCGUAAAGCGCACGUAGGUGGAUGUUUAAGUCGGAUGUGAAAUCCCUGGGCUUAACCUAGGAAUUGCAUUCGAUACUGGGCGUCUAGAGUAUAGUAGAGGGAAGUGGAAUUUCCGGUGUAGCGGUGAAAUGCGUAGAUAUCGGAAGGAACAUCAGUGGCGAAAGCGGCUUCCUGGACUAAUACUGACACUUAGGUGCGAAAGCGUGGGGAGCAAACAGG
rnacentral:rRNA from 1 species